rnacentral:tRNA from 1 species
GGGCCCGUGGCCUAGCCAGGAUAGGGCGCCGGCCUUCUAACGCCGGUGGUCCGGGGUUCAAAUCCCCGCGGGCCCACCA